GUCCUCUCAGGGUCAUACCUGGAGAGUUUCCAGUCCUCUACCAGUCUCGGCUAUGGGAGGGAGAGUGAAGCAGAGGCCUGUCCAUUCCAUUCCUAGCUUGCCAGUGGCUAGCGAGUGGAAGGCCAUCGGCUACAAGU
rnacentral:snoRNA from 1 species